rnacentral:rRNA from 1 species
UACGGAGGGAGCUAGCGUUGUUCGGAAUUACUGGGCGUAAAGCGCACGUAGGCGGCUUUGUAAGUUAGAGGUGAAAGCCCGGGGCUCAACCCCGGAAUUGCCUUUAAGACUGCAUCGCUUGAAUCCAGGAGAGGUGAGUGGAAUUCCGAGUGUAGAGGUGAAAUUCGUAGAUAUUCGGAAGAACACCAGUGGCGAAGGCGGCUCACUGGACUGGUAUUGACGCUGAGGUGCGAAAUCGUGGGGAGCAAACAGG